rnacentral:rRNA from 1 species
GACGAACGCUGGCGGCGUGCCUAAUACAUGCAAGUCGAACGGAGUGGCGCACGGGUGAGUAAUAUAUAGCUAAUCUGCCCCUUGCUGGAGGACAACAGUUAGUAAUGACUGCUAAUACUCCAUAGCAAGGGAUGAGACUAUAUCGUAUCAGCUAGUCGGUGGGGUAACGGCCUACCGAGGCGAUGACGCGUAACUGGUCUGAGAGGAUGAUCAGUCACGUUGGAACUGAGACACGGGCAUGACUCCGACGUGAGGCAGCAGGAGGGAAUAUUGCGCAGUGGGGGAAACCCUGACACAGCACCGCCGCGUGAAGGAUGACACUUUUCGGGGCGUAAACUCCUUUUGUUAGGGAGGCGGUACCUAACGAAUAAGCACCGGCUAACUCCGUGCCAGCAGCCGCGGUAAUUC